rnacentral:rRNA from 1 species
GACGAACGCUGGCGGCGUGCUUAACACAUGCAAGUCGAACGAAGAGCGACGGAAGCUUGCUUCUAUCAAUCUUAGUGGCGAACGGGUGAGUAACGCGUAAUCAACCUGCCCUUCAGAGGGGGACAACAGUUGGAAACGACUACUAAUACCGCAUACGAUCUAAUCUCGGCAUCGAGGAUGGAUGAAAGGUGGCCUCUACAUGUAAGCUAUCACUGACGGAGGGGAUUGCGUCUGAUUAGCUAGUUGGAGGGGUAACGGCCCACCAAGGCGAUGAUCAGUAGCCGGUCUGAGAGGAUGAACGGCCACAUUGGGACUGAGACACGGCCCAGACUCCUACGGGAGGCAGCAGUGGGGAAUCUUCCGCAAUGGACGAAGGUCUGACGGAGCAACGCCGCGUGAGUGAUGACGGCCUUCGGGUUGUAAAGCUCUGUUAAUCGGGACGAAAGGCCUUCUUGCGAAUAGUGAGAAGGAUUGACGGUACCGGAAUAGAAAGCCACGGCUAACUACGUG